UACGGAGGGUGCAAGCGUUGUCCGGAUUUAUUGGGUUUAAAGGGUGCGUAGGCGGUCCAUUAAGUCUGGGGUGAAAGCCCGUUGCUCAACAACGGAACUGCCCUGGAAACUGGUGGACUUGAGUACAGACGAGGGCGGCGGAAUGGAUGCUGUAGCGGUGAAAUGCAUAGAUAGCAUCCAGAACCCCCGAUUGCGAAGCAGCUGCCUAGACUG
rnacentral:rRNA from 1 species